AGGGUUGUAGCUCAGAGGUAGAACAUAUGCUUUGCAUGCAGAAGGUCCCUGUUUCAAUCCCUGGCAUCUCUA
rnacentral:tRNA from 1 species